AAUCAACGCUGGCGGCGUGCCUAACACAUGCAAGUCGAACGCGAAAGUCCCGCAAGGGAUGAGUAGAGUGGCAAACGGGUGAGUAACACGUGGGUGACCUGCCUUCGAGUGGGGGAUAACGUCCCGAAAGGGACGCUAAUACCGCAUGACAUCCUGCUUUUUAAGAGGCGGAGAUCAAAGCUGGGGAUCGCAAGACCUAGCGCUUGAAGAGGGGCCCGCGCCCGAUUAGCAGUUGGUGGGGUAACGGCCUACCAAGGCAACGAUCGGUAGCCGGCCUGAGAGGGGCGGACGGCCACACUGGGACUGAGACACGGCCCAGACUCCUACGGGAGGCAGCAGUGGGGAAUUGUUCGCAAUGGGCGCAAGCCUGACGACGCAACGCCGCGUGGA
rnacentral:rRNA from 1 species